GUUCCAUGGAUCACUAUAUCUGGUUUUGCGAUCUUUCUCAAGUUUCGGAAUGAGUUUCCAAGCCCAGAGCCCUAUCACAUAGGCGUCUGCGUGGUCAGGAGAGCGGUUCAGGCGCUUCUUCGUGUCCGCCUUGGGCUCGAUCAGGAGCUUUCCCGCCCGCCACUUAUACUGAGGCCAGCAUAGUUGACGCAUCAUUUCCGAAUCCAUACCAUAGAUGUCGGCGUCGUCAACGUGGU
rnacentral:rRNA from 1 species